CCUACGGGAGGCUGCAGUAGGGAAUCUUCCACAAUGGGCGAACGCCUGAUGGAGCCAAGCCGCGUGGGUGAAGAAGGUCUUCGGAUCGUAAAACCCUGUUGUUAGAGAAGAAAGUGCGUGCGAGUAACUGUUCACGUUUCGACGGUAUCUAACCAGCAAGCCCCGGCUAACUACGUGCCAGCAGCCGCGGUAAUACGGAGGUGGCAAGCGUUAUCCGGAUUUAUUGGGAGUAAAGGGAACGCAGGCGGUCUUUUAAGUCUGAUGUGAAAGCCUUCGGCUUAACCGGAGUAGUGCAUUGGAAACUGGGAGACUUGAGUGCAGAAGAGGAGAGUGGAACUCGAGGUGUAGCGGUGAAAUGCGUAGAUAUAUGGAAGAACACCAGUGGCGAAAGCGGCUCACUGGUCUGUAACUGACGCUGAGGUUCGAAAGCGUGGGUAGCAAACAGGAUUAGAUACCCCAGUAGUC
rnacentral:rRNA from 1 species